CGUGUAGGCGGUCACUCUAAGUCUGGAGUGAAAGUCCUGUUUUAAGGUGGGAAUUGCUUUGGAUACUGGAAGACUUGAGUGCGGAAGAGGUAAGUGGAAUUCCCAGUGUAGCGGUGAAAUGCGUAGAGACUUGGGAGGAACACCAGUGGCGAAGGCGACUUACUGGGCCGUAACUGACGCUGAGGCGCGAAAGCGUGGGGAGCGAACA
rnacentral:rRNA from 1 species